ensembl:lncRNA
UGGGUGUGAGUGUGAGUAUGUGCGUGGGUGUGGGUGAGUGAGUGUGAGUGAGUGAGUGUGUGAGUGGGUGUGAGGGUGAGUGGGUGUGAGUAGCAGUGUGUCUGUGUGUGAGUGUGAGUGGGUGUGUGUGAGGGUGAGUGUGUGUGAGUGGGUGAGUGGGUGUCAGUGUGAGUGUGAGUGGGUGUGUUAGUGGGUGUGUGAGUGUCAGUGUGUAUGUGAGAGGGUGUGAGUGUGAGUGAGUGGGUGAGUGUGAGUGUGUCUGUAUGUGAGUGUGAGUGGGUGUGUGUGAGGGUGAGUUUGUGAGUGGGUGUGUGUGGGUGUGAGUGGGUGUCAGUGUGAGUGUGUGAGUGGGUGUGUGAGUGUCAGCGUGAGUGGGUGUGACAGCGUGAGGGUGAGUGGGUGUGAGGGUGAGUGGGUGUGAGAAUGUCAGCGUGAGUGGGUGUGAGAGUGUGAGUGUGAGUGGGUGAGUGUGAGUGAGUGUGGGUGUCAGUGUGAGUGUGUGAGUGGCUGUGAGGGUGAGUGGGUGUGAGUGUGAGUGGGUGUGUGUGAGUGAGUGAGUGGGUGUGUCUGUGUGUGAGUGUGAGUGAGUGGGUGCGUGUGAGAGUGGGUGAGUGUGAGUGGGUGUGGGUGUCAGUGUGAGUGCGUGAGUGGCUGUGAGGGUGAGUGGGUGUGUGUGUGAGUGAGUGGGUGAGUGUGAGUGUGAGUGAGUGGGUGAGUGCAUGUGAGUGGGUGUCAGUGUGAGUGGGUGUGGGAGUGUCUGUGAGUGUGAAUGGGUGUGAGUGUGUGUCUGUGCGUGUGAGUGUGUGUGAGAGUGGGUGAGUGUGAGUGUCAGUGUGAGUGUGUGAGUGGGUGUGAGGGUGAGUGGGUGUGUGUGAGUGUGAGUGGGUGUGAGUGUGUGUGAGUGGGUGUGUGUGAGUGGGUGUGGGAGUGUCAGUGUGAGUGUGAGUGGGUGAGUGUGAGAGUGUGAGUGGGUGAGUGUGAGUGUGAGUGAGUGGGUGUGUGAGUGUCAGUGUGUGUGAGAGGGUGUGAGCGUGAGUGAGUGGGUGAGUGUGAGUGAGUGUGAGUUAGUGGGUGUCAGUGUGAGUGGGUGUGAGUGUGAGUGGGUGUGAGUGUGGGUGUGUGAGUGGGUGUGAAUGGGUGAGUGUGAGUGGGUGUCAAUGUGAGUGUGAGAGAGGGUGAGUGUGAUUGAGGGUGAGUGUGAGUGAGUGUGAAUGUGAGUGAGGGUGUUUGUGAGUGUGUGAGUGGGUGUGAGGGUGAGUGAGUGUGAGAGUGUGAGUGUGAGAGUGUGAGUGGGUGAGUGUGAGUGUGAGUGAAUGGGUGAGUGCGUGUGAGUGUGAGUGGGUGUGGGAGUGUCACUGUGAGUGUGAAUGGGUGUGUGUGUGAGUGGGUGAGUGUGAGAGUGUGCGUGAGUGUGAGUGGGUGUGUGUGAGAGUGGGUGAGUGUGAGUGUCAGUGUGAGUGUGUGAGUGGGUGUGAGGGUGAGUGGGUGUGAAUCAGUGUGAGCGUGAGUGGGUCUGUGUGUGAGUGUGACUGGAUGUGUGUGAGAGUGGGUGAGUGUGAGUGGGUGUGAGUGGGUGAGUGUGCGUGUGAGUGGGUGUCGGUGUGAGUGUGUGAGUGUGUGUUGGAGUAUCAGUGUGAGUGUGAGUGGGUGUGAGUGUGAGUGGGUGGGUGUGUGUGAGCGGGUCUGAGUGGGUGUGAGUGGGUGAGUGCGAGUGCGAGUGGGUGUGAGUGGGUGUGAGUAUGUAUGUGUGUGCAUGGGGCUGUGAGUGUGAGUGUGCAAGGGGCUGUGAGUGUGCAUGGGGCUGUGAGUGUGCAAUGUUGGGGCUGUGAGUGUGCAAGGGUCUGUGAGUGUGCAUGGGGCUGUGAGUGUGAGUGUGCAAGCAGCUGUGAGAGUGCACGGGGCAUGCAUGGUGCAGGUGCUGCAUGCAUGGGGCUGCGUGUGCAUGCACGGUGCAGGUGCUGCGUGCACAAUGCAGGUGCUGUGUGCAACACACUGUGCAUGCACGGUGCAGGUGUUGCAUGCAUGGGGCUGUGUGUGCAUGCACAGUGCAGGUGCUGUGUGCACAUGAGGCUGUGUGUGCAUGCACGGCGCAGGUGCUGCAUGUGCAUGCACGGUGCAGGUGCUGUGUGCAUGGUGUUGCGUGUGCAUGCAUGGUGCAAGUGCUGCAUGCAUGGGGCUGUGUGCGCAUGCACGGUGCAGGUGCUGUGUGCAACACACCGUGCAUGCAUGUCGCAGUUGCUGCGUGCAUGGAGCUCCGUGUGCAUGCACGGUGUGUGUGCUGCAUGCAUGGGGCUCUGUGUGCAUGCACGGUGUGGGUGCUGCGUGCAGUGCAGGUGCAGGGAGCGGUGCAGCUGUGCAUGCACGGUGUGGGUGCUGCGUUCAUAGGGCUCCAUGUGCAUGUACGGCGUGGGUGCUGCGUGCAGUGCAGUUGCAGUGAGCAGUGCAGGUGUGCAUGCAUGGCGUGGGUGCUGCAUGCAUGGGGCUUUGUGUGCAUGCAUGCUGUGGGUGGUGCAUUACAGUGCAGGUGCAGUGAGCGGUGCAGGUGUGCAUGCACGGUGUGGAUGCUGCAUGCAGUGCAGGUGCAGUGAGCGGUGCAGGUGUGCAUGCAUGGCCUGUGUGCUGCAUGCAUGGGGCUUUGUGUGCAUGCACAGUGUGGGUGCUGAGUGCAGUGCGGGUGAAGUGAGCAGUGCAGGUGUGCAUGCAUGGCAUGGGUGCUGCAUGCAUGGGGCUUUGUGUCCAUGCACGGUGUGGGUGCUGCGUGCAGUGCAGGUGCAGUGAGCGGUGCAAGUAUGCAUGCAUGGCCUGUGUGCUGCAUGCAUGGGGCUCCGUGUGCAUGCAUGGUGUGGGUGCUGCGUGCAGUGCAGGUGCAGUGAGCGGUGCAGGUGUGCAUUCAGGGUGUGGAUGCUGCAUGCAUGGGGCUUUGUGUGCAUGCACGGUGUGGGUGCUGCGUGCAGUGCAGGUGCAGUGAGCGGUGCAGGUGUGCAUGCACGGUGUGG